GGCCAGCAGCCGCGGUAAUACAUAGGGGGCGAGCGUUAUCCGGAUUUAUUGGGCGUAAAGCGUGCGUAGGCGGCUGAUUAAGUCUGGUGUGAAAUUUCUCGGCUUAACCGAGAAGGGUCAUUGGAAACUGGUCAGCUUGAAUGCAGGAGAGGUAAGUGGAAUUCCAUGUGUAGCGGUAAAAUGCUUAGAUAUAUGGAGGAACACCAGUGGCGAAGGCGGCUUACUGGCCUGAGAUUGACGCUGAUGCACGAAAGCGUGGGUAGCAAACAGGAUUAGAUACCCUGGUAGUCCACGCCGUAAACGAUGAGCACUAAGUGUCGGGGGAAACCUCGGUGCUGAAGUUAACGCAUUAAGUGCUCCGCCUGGGGAGUACGGUCGCAAGACUGAAACUCAAAGGAAUUGACGGGGGCCCGCACA
rnacentral:rRNA from 1 species